GUAACGCGUGAGAAUCUGCCUUCAGGAUGGGGACAACAAUUGGAAACGAUUGCUAAUACCCGAUAUGACGAAAGUUGAAAGAUUUAUCGCCUGGAGAUGAGCUCGCGUCAGAUUAGCUAGAUGGUGUGGUAACGGCGCACCAUGGCGACGAUCUGUAGCUGGUCUGAGAGGAUGAGCAGCCACACUGGGACUGAGACACGGCCCAGACUCCUACGGGAGGCAGCAGUGGGGAAUUUUCCGCAAUGGGCGCAAGCCUGACGGAGCAAUACCGCGUGAGGGAGGAAGGCUCUUGGGUCGUAAACCUCUUUUCUCAGGGAAGAACACAAUGACGGUACCUGAGGAAUCAGCAUCGGCUAACUCCGUGCCAGCAGCCGCGGUAAUACGGAGGAUGCAAGCGUUAUCCGGAAUGAUUGGGCGUAAAGCGUCCGUAGGUGGUUCUGUAAGUCUGUGGUUAAAGCGUGGGGCUCAACCCCAUACCGGCCAUGGAAACUACAAGACUUGAGUAAAGUAGGGGUAGAGGGAAUUCCCAGUGUAGCGGUGAAAUGCGUAGAGAUUGGGAAGAACACCGGUGGCGAAAGCGCUCUACUGGACUUAAACUGACACUGAGGGACGAAAGCUAGGAGAGCG
rnacentral:rRNA from 1 species